AGAGUUUGAUCAUGGCUCAGGAUGAACGCUAGCGGCAGGCCUAACACAUGCAAGUCGAGGGGUAGUUAUCUUCGGAUAAUGAGACCGGCGCACGGGUGCGUAACGCGUAUGCAAUCUACCUUGUACAGAGGGAUAGCCCAGAGAAAUUUGGAUUAAUACCUCAUAGUAUAUUUUUAUCGCAUGAUUUAAAUAUUAAAGAUUUAUCGGUACAAGAUGAGCAUGCGUCCCAUUAGUUAGUUGGUAAGGUAACGGCUUACCAAGACAAUGAUGGGUAGGGGUCCUGAGAGGGAGAUCCCCCACACUGGUACUGAGACACGGACCAGACUCCUACGGGAGGCAGCAGUGAGGAAUAUUGGACAAUGGGCGCAAGCCUGAUCCAGCCAUGCCGCGUGCAGGAAGACGGUCCUAUGGAUUGUAAACUGCUUUUGUACAGGAAGAAACACUCCCUCGUGAGGGAGCUUGACGGUACUGUAAGAAUAAGGAUCGGCUAACUCCGUGCCAGCAGUCGCGGUAAU
rnacentral:rRNA from 1 species